rnacentral:rRNA from 1 species
GGCGGCAUGCCUUACACAUGCAAGUCGAACGGCAGCGCGGGGCAACCUGGCGGCGAGUGGCGAACGGGUGAGUAAUAUAUCGGAACGUACCCAAGAGUGGGGGAUAACGUAGCGAAAGUUACGCUAAUACCGCAUACGAUCUAAGGAUGAAAGCAGGGGACCGCAAGGCCUUGUGCUCCUGGAGCGGCCGAUAUCUGAUUAGCUAGUUGGUGGGGUAAAGGCCCACCAAGGCAUCGAUCAGUAGCUGGUCUGAGAGGACGACCAGCCACACUGGAACUGAGACACGGUCCAGACUCCUACGGGAGGCAGCAGUGGGGAAUUUUGGACAAUGGGGGCAACCCUGAUCCAGCAAUGCCGCGUGAGUGAAGAANGCCUUCGGGUUGUAAAGCUCUUUUGUCAGGGAAGAAAAGGUCACGGCUAAUAUCCGUGGCUCAUGACGGUACCUGAAGAAUAAGCACCGGCUAACUACGUGCCAGCAGCCGCGGUAAUACGUANGGUGCAAGCGUUAAUCGGAAUUACUGGGCGUAAA